rnacentral:rRNA from 1 species
GGAUGCGAUCAUAGCAGCACUAAAGCACCGGAUCCCAUCAGAACUCCGAAGUUAAGCGUGCUUGGGCGAGAGUAGUACUAGGAUGGGUGACCUCCUAGGAAGUCCUCGUGUUGCAUUCC